rnacentral:rRNA from 1 species
ACGAACUCACGAACCGAGCCGUGACCAAGAAGAAAAACCCUCCGUACGACAAACGCCGCGGCGCCGCCCACCGAGACACGGCCGAUGGUCACCCCGCCGUCGCCCCGGCGGUCUGCCGCAGGCGCUGGCGCCGCUGCGGGGGCCCCGCGCGUGCUGCUUGCCCUGGUGGUGCUCUACGGCUUCAUGUCAUUCCUAGUCUACCGCGUCAUCCACAUGCGCCACGUCGCCCCGCUGGACAGCGACGCGUCGCCAGACGAAUUCUCCGAGGGACGCGUGCUGCAGCACCUCCGCCGCCUCGUCGUUGAUAUCCCUUGCCGCCAGGAGGGGAGACCGGGGUUGGAGACCGCCGCGCAGUACAUCAAGGGGCAGCUCGAGGGGCUUGCUGCGCAUGCUGGGCCGGAGUACAGGGUAGAUGUUGAAGAAACAAUUGUCAGUGGCUCUUUCAGCAUGAUGUUUUUGCGCCACAGAGUAACUCUAGGCUACAGAAAUCAUAAAAAUAUUGUUAUGAGGAUUUCAUCAAAUGUUUCAGAAGAGGAUGAACCAUCCCUUUUGGUGAAUGGACAUUUCGACAGUCCACUUGGAUCACCUGGUGCAGCAGACUGUGGUUCCUGUGUUGCAUCUAUGCUUGAACUAUCACGACUUAUGCUUGAGUCUGGGUGGAUCCCUCCUCGGCCAGUCAUUUUCCUUUUCAAUGGUGCUGAGGAACUUUUUCUUCUGGGUUCGCAUGGUUUUAUGAAGACACACAAGUGGAGCAGCACAGUUGGUGCUUUCAUUAAUAUCGAAGCUUCUGGAAGUGGUGGUGCUGAUUUAGUUUGUCAGUCUGGACCGGGAUCUUGGCCUUCUCGUAUUUAUGCUCAGACUGCAAAGUAUCCAAUGGCAAAUAGUGUUGCUCAGGAUAUGUUUGGAAUAAUUCCAGGUGAUACAGAUUAUAGGAUAUUUGCUGAAGACGUAGCAAAAAUCCCAGGACUUGAUAUUAUCUUUGUUCUUGGUGGUUAUUUUUAUCAUACUUCUUAUGAUACACUGGAAAACCUGCUUCCUGGAAGUAUUCAAGCGCGCGGUGAAAAUUUAUUCAACCUUGUAAAGGCUUUCACAAAUUCUCCGAUGCUGCUAAAAGAGAGCGAGAGAUCCAAUAAAGCUGUUAAUGAGGGAAUCGACGAUCUGAGAGCUAUCUUCUUUGAUUACUUGACUUGGUUCAUGAUCUUUUAUCCACGUGAUGUGUCUCUGAUUAUUCACAGUCUUCCUGUAGCUAUUUUCCUUCUUACACCAUUGUUCCUGAGCUUCCCAAAUAUUACCAUGAUAUCAUUGUUUCGGACUGUUCUGGAUUUAGCAAGAGGAAUGUUGCUUCAUGCAUUUGGUGUCAUCCUUGCAAUAGUCGUUCCUGCUAUGACUGCAGGCCUUAGAUUGUUGUUCACAAAGAAUGCAAUGAAUUGGUUUGCUCACCCUUGUUUGGCAUUUUUUAUGUUUGUCCCGGCAUCAUUGGUCGGUUUAUUGCUGCCGAGGAUCAUAUGGGGGCUAUCAGAGCAAUCACACUUUUGGGGUGCUUUUGGUCUCUAUUCUCUAGUAACUCUGGCUUACAUGCUAGCUGGGCUGAGUGGAGGUUUUCUAACAUUUUUUAUUUCCAUGUCCCUUCUUCUUGGGCGAUUUAUCUCUAGCAUCAGCAGGAAGCAGUUGGGCCAACAAUCACCUAAGUCAUUGUUUGGAUAUGUGAUACCAAUGAUCCCAUGUCUCCUGUAUUGUCUUUACUAUGGAGGGUUCCUUAUCCAGUUUUUGAUUGAAAAGAUGGGAAUGAUGGGAUCUCUUCCAAAACCAUAUGGACAUUUUGUUCCUGAUAUUAUUGUUGGAGCCAUGGUUGGAUUGGUAGUGGGUUGGUGUUUUGGUCCAUUAGCACCUAUUGUUAGCUGUUGGUUGGCCAAAGCAUCCAUUCUGCAUGGCUUUUUGCAAAUUACAGUGGUUGCUAUGGCUGUUUCAUCCCAAGUAUUUCCUUACAGCACCGGAGCACCAAAACGAGUUGUGCUUCAACACACCUUUGUCACAGAUGCUAGUAACAUUGUGGAGUCAAACUAUGGUUUCUCUGUGGUUGAUGCUAAUUCGUUGGAGUUUGUUUUCAACAACGCACCUGAGGCAGCAAAAUGGCUAAAAGAUAACUCAGAGUUAUCCUUAAAAGAAAAAUAUCGAUCUGAUAGAAGCACGUGGGUGGCAUUAUAUCCUGUCCCUUUCUUGUUCUCUGGAAGUUUGAAGUUUCCUGCACAGACUGAAGAGAUUAGAAAGCACCACCAGCAUUUCCCCCAGCUAGUUGUUCAGAAGACAUCAAGUAACAAUUGGAACCGACGGGUGCAUCUACAGCUCUCACUUGGUUCAUUAUCAGAGGUUUGGACCACUUCGCUCAAUAUUACUGGUCCAUUAUCGAAUUGGUCUUUUGCUGACAACACACUUCCAGCUCCUCAAACUGUAAGCGGUGGACCACCAUCAUAUAUCUGUCGACUUACUGGACAAAGUAAUGAGAAUUGGUCUUUCUGGUUAGAGGCAAACUCUUCCGAACCACUGAGAAUCGAUGUGGCUGUACUAGACCAGUUUCUUGUUGAUAGCACGAAAGAACUGAAGAGCCUCUUUCCAAGUUGGGCAGAUAUGACAGUCUUCACCACAUUUUUCUCAACUUACUAUUUGUAAACUCUAUAUAAUUGUAAAUCUGUGUAUUUAGGAGGGGGGAAUUAAAUAGGUAUGCUAUGUUUCGGGAGCAGGACGUAUUCUUCUCCCAAGUAGGUGGUGCUGGUCUUGAUGCCACCUUAUUUGUAAUAUCAUCAUAACAAUAAUUUAAUAUAUAGCGGUUUCAAAAAGGAAAAACCUGAAACAAAAAUAAACUGGUAUAGCGACCCCAAAUAUUCACCGUGUAACACGUACUCCAUUCAUUUUAUAAGGUGGAAACAAUUUCGAGAGU